CCCAGCCUCUUCACUGGAAAUGCACUCAGGACAGUCAUACCAGUUGGGUUUCUUGUAUGAUGGCACAGAUCAAGUACAAACUUGAAAUGUGGAAUAAGAAGAGUUAUCAUAGGUUCUCCUUGAUCAUCAAGUGUUUUGUUUUUGUUUGUUGAAUUUUUUUGUUUUGGUUUGGUUGGGAAGGAUGGUGGCAUGUGUGUGUUUUACUUUUGCAUUUGAGUGGAAGGGGUACUUAACAGCAAAACAAUGACAGCCAAGUCUUCCAGUCCAGGAAUUACCAGGAGCCUUAUCAGAACCAGAAAUUGCGUCUUUAGACAACGUUUAUAGCCUCAUAGAAGAUACCAGGCUUCACUUUGUCAAGCUCUACUAAAUUGGCCUGCCUGUCCCUACCACUGAGCAAAACAUGAAAAAGCUAGAAACAGCAACACAAAGUCAAGAGCAGCCAGCCGCUCUAGGCAAGGAAUUCUGAUCUACUAAAGAGAACCCCAGAAGCCACCAAGUGGAGAACCCCAGGCUUUAGAGAACCCCACAAGCCACCAUGUGGAGAAGCCCAGGCUAACCUGCUGGAUGAUGAGACUCACAAAGCCCAGGCAUCCCUGUAGCCCUUGCCAACCGUCAUGUAUGUGAGUGAGACUAUCCAUCUGACGGGAUGUUCAUGAGUGAGCUCAGAGGAGAAGAGAACCAUCACAUAGCUGAGCCCAGCUUAAAUUGCCAAACCACAAAAUGGUGAACUAAAUAAAUGCCUGUUGUUUUAAGCCACCAAGUUUUGGAGUGGUUUGUUGAGCAGCAAAAGCUGAUUCAAAAUCUAUUUAUCCCCCAAAUCGAAUGCAAGCCACCUAACAGCAUUAUAUAAAAGGCAAAAUUUCAAUUCUAAAGUAAACUGACAUAGAAUGGGUAUGGUGUUGAUGAGCUGAUUAGAAAAGGAAAGAGCACAAGUCAUAAAUCACCGUGUAGCUCAUUAA
rnacentral:lncRNA from 10 species